GCGUUGCUCGGAAUCACUGGGCGUAAAGCGCACGUAGGCGGCUUUUUAAGUCAGGGGUGAAAUCCUGGAGCUCAACUCCAGAACUGCCUUUGAUACUGGGAAGCUUGAGUCCGGAAGAGGUGAGUGGAACUCCGAGUGUAGAGGUGAAAUUCGUAGAUAUUCGGAAGAACACCAGUGGCGAAGGCGGCUCACUGGUCCGGUACUGACGCUGAGGUGCGAAAGCGUGGGGAGCAAACAGG
rnacentral:rRNA from 1 species